AACGAACGCUGGCGGCAUGCCUAACACAUGCAAGUCGAACGAGACCUUCGGGUCUAGUGGCGCACGGGUGCGUAACGCGUGGGAAUCUGCCCUUGGGUCCGGAAUAACUCAGAGAAAUUUGAGCUAAUACCGGAUGAUGACGUAAGUCCAAAGAUUUUAUCGCCCAGGGAUGAGCCCGCGUAGGAUUAGCUAGUUGGUGAGGUAAAGGCUCACCAAGGCGACGAUCCUUAGCNGGUCUGAGAGGAUGAUCAGCCACACUGGGACUGAGACACGGCCCAGACUCCUACGGGAGGGCAGCAGGUGGGAAUAUUGGACAAUGGGCGAAAGCCUGAUCC
rnacentral:rRNA from 1 species